CUGAAGCUCCCUUCCGGGUGCUGCAAGCGUUUUCAUUGAACGCCUACCACGUCCGAACUUAAGCGUGUAAGACAGAUUGAUAGCUCUUUCUCGAAUCUAUGGGUGGUGGUGCAUGGCCGUUCUUAGUUACUGGAGUGAUUUGUCCAAUGAAUUCCGAUAACGAACGAGGCUCAAAUAUAUUAAAUAGAUUAUGGUGUUGAAGCUUUUAUGGCCUUCAUUUAUGAGCACAGUAAAAUGUGGGUGUUUGAAUGUCUUUAUAAAAGUGGAGCGGUACCUGUUGGUUAGUCCUUUUAUAGGAUAAUAGCUUCUUAAAUAGACAAAUUGCGUCUAGCAAUAAUGGGAUUGAACAAUACCAGGUCUGCGAUGCCUGGUCCUAGACCGAGAGGUCCGGGAUUGUGAAUUGAAACUGUUCACAUGAACUAGGAUGUCCCAGUACGUGUGAGUUACGAAAUCGCAUUGAUUACGUCCCUGCUCUUUG
rnacentral:ncRNA from 1 species